UAUCUCUGUAGAGUCUGCAUAUCAAUAAGCGGAGGAAAAGAAACUAACAUAGGAUUCCCUUAGUAACGGCGAGUGAAGCGGGAAGAGCUCAAAUUUGAAAUCUUCAAGGUUUUACCUUGACGAAUUGUAGUUUAAAGAAGUGUUUUCUGUUGGAUGUUUUGGUAAAAGUUCUUUGGAAUAGGACAUCAUAGAGGGUGAGAAUCCCGUAUUUGACCAUUACUUUCCAGCUUUGUGAUACACUUUCAAAGAGUCGGAUUGUUUGGGAAUGCAGUCCAAAAUGGGUGGUAAAUUUCAUCUAAAGCUAAAUAUUGGCGAGAGACCGAUAGCGAACAAGUACCGUGAGGGAAAGAUGAAAAGAACUUUGAAAAGAGAGUUAAACAGUACGUGAAAUUGUCAAAAGGGAAGCGUUUGACACCAGUGUUGUUUUCUCGAAAAUCAAUUAAAAAAGGUUAGGAUUUUGUGUUGUAUUGACCUUAUCAGCUUUCUGCACUCUUUUCCUGCUUUUUUUAAUGCACUUUUCGUUUAACAAGUCAACAUCAGUUUCUUUUGUUGUAAAAGGGUCAUUGGAAGGUGGCUUUCUUUUCGGAGAAAGUGUUUAUAGCCUUUGGCCUCUGCAAUCGGAGAGAUUGAGGUCUGCAGCGUAGAUCCUUCGGGGUUAGAUACAUUUGUGCUAAGUUAUAGCCUUUCAUAGACAACUUGUUGACUAUGAUCAGUCAUGUAGCUUACUCGCUUAUGCUAUUUUACCUACGCUUAGGAUGUUGAUAGUCACAGCGUGUA
rnacentral:rRNA from 1 species